GAACUGAAGAGUUUGAUCAUGGCUCAGAUUGAACGCUGGCGGCAGGCCUAACACAUGCAAGUCGAGCGGAUGAAGGGAGCUUGCUCCCGGAUUCAGCGGCGGACGGGUGAGUAAUGCCUAGGAAUCUGCCUGGUAGUGGGGGAUAACGUCCGGAAACGGGCGCUAAUACCGCAUACGUCCUGAGGGAGAAAGUGGGGGAUCUUCGGACCUCACGCUAUCAGAUGAGCCUAGGUCGGAUUAGCUAGUUGGUGGGGUAAAGGCCUACCAAGGCGACGAUCCGUAACUGGUCUGAGAGGAUGAUCAGUCACACUGGAACUGAGACACGGUCCAGACUCCUACGGGAGGCAGCAGU
rnacentral:ncRNA from 2 species